rnacentral:sRNA from 1 species
GGCUGUGAGAGUGAUCUGGCUAGGAUGUUUGUCAUCCCAUUGCUCAUGAGGUUUGAUGUGGCUGAUCCGCCUAGCUGGCAUCUCUUCCCUCCUCAUACCUCAAUGCACAUUCCUCCCACAUCUGGGCUCAUGGCAGUGAAUGUGACCUUUCUGUCCAGAGGAGUUCUAUCAUUUGGUCAAGGUAGGGAGGCGAUUGUGCUUCUGUGUUUAAGACUCAGCAAAAGACAAAAUGCAGAAAGUCUCGUACAACCAUAUGGUUGUCAUGAUGUAU